CAAUGCGCGAAAGCGUGACGGGGCUACCCCGAGUGUCGUUCGCUGAGGAUGACUUUUCUCUGGUGUAAUGAGCCGGAGGAAUAAGGAGAGGGCAAGACUGGUGUCAGCCGCCGCGGUAAUACCAGCUCUCCGAGUGGUAGGGACGAUUAUUGGGCCUAAAGCGUCCGUAGCUGGUCAGGUAAGUGUCCCGUUAAAUCCAACGACCCAAUCGUUGGACUGCGGGAUAUACUGCUUGCCUAGGGGACGGGAGAGGUCGACGGUAUUCCUGGAGGAGGAGUGAAAUCCUAUAAUCCCAGGAGGACCACCAGUGGCGAAGGCGGUCGACUAGAACGUGCCCGACAGUGAGGGACGAAAGCUGGGGGAGCGAACCGGAUUAGAUACCCGGGUAGUCCCAGCCGUAAACGAUGCGGGCUAGGUGUUGGAUCGGCUACGGGCCGAUCCAGUGCCGCAGGGAAGCCAUUAAGCCCGCCGCUUGGGUAGUACGGCCGCAAGGCUGAAACUUAAAGGAAUUGGCGGGGGAGCACCACAAGGGGUGAAGCUUGCGGUUUAAUUGGAGUCAACGCCGGGAACCUUACCGGGGGC
rnacentral:rRNA from 1 species